GGGUACAAACACAGCCUAGGGGUCCUGACCUGCAGACCGACAGCCUGCGCGGGGCCCAGGCCCGCCCCUCCCACACCACAGUCCCAGGUCCUCUAUCCUGGCGGAGGCGGGGGUCUCCGCACUGCACGAGAUCGCCCCAGACCCGGGCUCCUUCGCUCCUGAGGCUCCCUCAUCCCUGGGCUCCUCUCUGCCCCGGACACACUGGAAGCGCCACUACCGCCGCAUCUGCAUUCCAAAAAGAACAGCCUCAUGCCGGACAAGGAGUCAAGGACUUCGCCUCUCGGGAGACGGUGGGAAAAGGGAUUUCUCUGGGGCAUGAAGAGACUGCGGCAAGCAGCGAUUUAGGCUGGUGGCGGAGAAUUGGCUUGAUGAACACGAUCCGACAAGGAGGGGAGAAUGCAUCUGGGCAUCACGUUGCUCUGGGCAAAAUGUAAACACUCCAGGGAGGGAAGGUGUAAGUGGCACUGCAUAAAUGCAGAGAGCUCUCCAUGCACAACCCAUGUUGGGCCCGGCAACCAUGACUCACAGGGAGGAAGACUGCAGAGGCCUGGAAGGUGCGCUGUCAGGGGUGCCGUGACCCCGCUAUGGGAUCUCCAGCCCACUCCAGUUCCUCGAGGCUGUGGCUUGCAAGACGAGACUUUCUCUCCAGCAUGCAGAUGUGUGGUAUUUUCCUUCUGAAGCAGAUUGCUGGUCUCAGGCCGGAACGGUGCACACCCGUGUUCCCACAAUGUAAACCACCAUCAGGCUAAGUGUAGACAUUUUGUGAUGCAUUUAGAUAAGGUAGCGUAGCAUGGCUUUCUUCCAGGAAAGCCAACAUUCGGGACAUCCUCAGUAAGCCAGGUACCCUACCGGAUGCUGAGGAUGGGGUGUUCCAUUUUACAGGUAUAUAGCAGACUCACAGGCCUCAAGUGUCUUGUUCAGAGUCACUAAGACAUGAAAGUGGUCAAGUGGCUUGGGAGGAUACUCACCUUCUUCCUUGCUAGCAGGAACUACAGUUUAAGGCUGCAACACACCCAGCCCGAAGUGAUGAUUUAUGAUUAAGACAAUCAUGAUAAAGCUGUUUUCCAGUUCCUCAGGCCCUCCUGCAGUUAGGGGGAGCCAUGUGAUCCAGUUAUGAUCCAUGAAACCUAACAAAAACACUACUAUUCCAU
rnacentral:lncRNA from 12 species